GGACCCGUAGCUCAGCGGUAGAGCAUCUGAUUCCAGCUAUCUAGCAUCUACUGCUAGCUGCCUCCAGAAGUAGGUUUACCUAACUAUUGAGUACCUUGGCGCAUUAGCUAACAAGCGGUAGGGUCAUCCGUUCAAAUCGGGUCGGGUUCA